rfam:Drosophila ficusphila unplaced genomic scaffold scf7180000453926, whole genome shotgun sequence
GGCAAUGAUGAACAAACCUGAAGGAGUGGGCAGCUGGCAACAGUUGGCCUACGCAUGACCAUCAACUAAUCUUCUCGCUGAUAGCA